ACGCGUGGGAAAUCUGCCGAGUAGCGGGGGACAACGUUUGGAAACGAACGCUAAUACCGCAUAACAAUGAGAAUCGCAUGAUUCUGAUUUAAAAGAAGCAACUGCUUCACUACUUGAUGAUCCCGCGUUGUAUUAGCUAGUUGGUAGUGUAAAGGACUACCAAGGCGAUGAUACAUAGCCGGCCUGAGAGGGUGAACGGCCACACUGGGACUGAGACACGGCCCGGACUCCUACGGGAGGCAGCAGUAGGGAAUCUUCGGCAAUGGGGGCAACCCUGACCGAGCAACGCCGCGUGAGUGAAGAAGGUUUUCGGAUCGUAAAACUCUGUUGUUAGAGAAGAACGUUAAGUAGAGUGGAAAGUUACUUAAGUGACGGUAUCUAACCAGAAAGGGACGGCUAACUACGUGCCAGCAGCCGCGGUAAUACGUAGGUCCCGAGCGUUGUCCGGAUUUAUUGGGCGUAAAGCGAGCGCAGGUGGUUCCUUAAGUCUGAUGUAAAAGGCAGUGGCUCAACCAUUGUGUGCAUUGGAAACUGGGGAACUUGA
rnacentral:rRNA from 1 species